UGUCCUGUCCAGGGGGUGUACUAGUGUCCUGUCCAGGGGGUGGACUAGUGUCCUGUCCAGGGGGUGUACUAGUGUCCUGUCCAGGGGGUGGACUAGUGUCCUGUCCAGGGGGUGGACUAGUGUCCUGUCCAGGGGGUGGACUAGUGUCCUGUCCAGGGGGUGUACUAGUGUCCUGUCCAGGGGGUGGACUAGUGUCCUGUCCAGGGGGUGGACUAGUGUCCUGUCCAGGGGGUGGACUAGUGUCCUGUCCAGGGGGUGGACUAGUGUCCUGUCCAGGGGGUGGACUAGUGUCCUGUCCAGGGGGUGGACUAGUGUCCUGUCCAGGGGGUGUACUAGUGUCCUGUCCAGGGGGUGGACUAGUGUCCUGUCCAGGGGGCGGACUAGUGUCCUGUCCAGGGGGUGUACUAGUGUCCUGCCCAGGGGGUGUACUAGUGUCCUGUCCAGGGGGUGGACUAGUGUCCUGUCCAGGGGGUGAAUACGAUUCAAUGCGAUACAACACGAUUCAAUGUGAUACAACACGAUUCAAUGCAAUACCAAUACGAUUCAAUGCAAUACCAUACGAUUCAAUGCAAUACCAAUACGAUUCAAUGCAAUACCAUACGAUUCAAUGCAAUACCAAUACGAUUCAAUGCAAUACCAUACGAUUCAAUGCAAUACCAUACGAUUCAAUGUGAUACAAUAUGAUUCAAUGCAAUACCAAUACGAUUCAAUGUGAUAACAUUUGUUGCAUAAACACAUUCAUUUUCCUUUUUAUAUUCACAUCUAUUGCUGAUGGAGCUCGUGAGCUGGGCCUCUCUGAGCUGCAUCUGUCUGAGCUGUGUGUGUGUGUGUGUGUGUGUGUGUGUGUGUGUGUGUGUGUGUGUGUGUGUGUGUGUGUGUGUGUGUGUGUGUGUGUGUGUGUGUGUGUGUGUGUGUGUGUGUGUGUGUGUGUGUGUGUGUGUGUGUGUGUGUGUGUGUGUGUGUUUAUUCAAUCCAUUUUAGAGUAAGGCUGUUAAGUAACUGUGUAAAAAGUCAAGGGGUCUGAAUACUUUCCGAAGGCCAUGUAUCUUGAUUAGAUAACUAUUCACCACCUGAGUCAAUAGAGAUUACAGCUGUGAGUCUUUCUGGGUAAGUCUCUAAGAGCUUUUCACACCUGGAUUGUACAAUAUUCUGACAUUAUUAUUUUCAAAAUUCAUCAAGCGCUGUCAAAUUAUACAUAUGAUGAGAGGUGUUCCAGUCUCCAUACAUAAUGAUGAGAGGUGUUCCAGUCUCCAUACAUAAUGAUGAGAGGUGUUCCAGUCUCCCUACAUAAUGAUGAGAAGUGUUCCAGUCUCCCUACAUAGUGAUGAGAGGUGUUCCAGUCUCCAUACAUAAUGAUGAGAGGUGUUCCAGUCUCCCUACAUAGUGAUGAGAGGUGUUCCAGUCUCCAUACAUAAUGAUGAGAGGUGUUCCAGUCUCCAUACAUAAUGAUGAGAGGUGUUCCAGUCUCCCUACAUAGUGAUGAGAGGUGUUCCAGUCUCCAUACAUAAUGAUGAGAGGUGUUCCAGUCUCCAUACAUAAUGAUGAGAGGUGUUCCAGUCUCCCUACAUAAUGAUGAGAGGUGUUCCAGUCUCCCUACAUAAUGAUGAGAGGUGUUCCAGUCUCCCUACAUAAUGAUGAGAGGUGUUCCAGUCUCCAUACAUAAUGAUGAGAGGUGUUCCAGUCUCCCUACAUAAUUAUACAUGAUGGGAGGGUGUUUCAGACAUAAUUAUGCGCUAUAGCUGUAUUUGCUGCUAUAACAGGAUGGGCACUGAUGUUGGGGGCGAUUAGGCCAGGCUCGCAGUCGGCGUUCCAAUUCAUUCCAAAGGUGUUCGAUGGGGUUGAGGUCAGGGCUCUGUGCAGGCCAGUCAAGUUCUUCCACAUCGAUCUCAGCAAACCAUUUCUACAUUUACAUUUACAUUUAAGUCAUUUAGCAGACGCUCUUAUCCAGAGCGACUUACAAAUUGGUGCAUACACCUUAUGACAUCCAGUGGAACAGCCACUUUACAAUAGUGCAUCUAAAUAUUUUUAGGG